UUUCGAACGUGAAGCAAAACAACCAAACUGACGAAGCGACCCCAGAGCCCAAACACCACCGCGUUAACGAGACUCAGAACCCAUAGAAUGGAUCCUUCAGCCCCCAGUGCAUAAUUAAUAUCAGCAUAGUUAAAUAUGCAGCCGAGGGAUCACUGACUGAACCAGCUUUUAUCACCUACCUUUAAUUAACAGUCAGCUACAUUGUUGUGGAUCUGGAGUCACAUGCAG